rnacentral:rRNA from 1 species
AUACGGAGGAUCCGAGCGUUAUCCGGAUUUAUUGGGUUUAAAGGGUGCGUAGGUGGUUUGAUAAGUCAGCGGUGAAAGUUUGCAGCUUAACUGUAAAAAUGCCGUUGAAACUGUCGGACUUGAGUGUAAAUGAGGUAGGCGGAAUGCGUGGUGUAGCGGUGAAAUGCAUAGAUAUCACGCUGAACUCCGAUUGCGAAGGCAGCUUACUAAGCUACAACUGACACUGUAGCACGAAAGCGUGGGGAUCAAACAGGAUUAGAUACCCUGGUAGUCCACGCAGGAAACGAUGAUUACUAGCUUUUUGCGAUACACAGUAAGCGGCACAGCGAAAGCGUUAAGUAAUCCCCCUGGGGAGUACGCCGGCAACGGUGAAACUCAAAUGAAUUGACGUGG